GAAACAAGAGGUAGUUCAAACAUCAGCGUGCCUCCAAGCUAGAAAUUCAGCCUGACCAGAGUUCUGUCCUAGACUUUUUGGCAUUGCAAGCUGAACCUGACACAUCCUACAGUGUUAUGCAAAACAGAGACAGUUCUCUGUCUUCAAUCUGUUUCUUCAGCCUGAAUGUCACAUCCAAUCCCAGAAGAACAAUGGAAAAUGGAUUUUCAGAUUCUUAGUAUCAAUAAUCUUCUAGAAGGGAAAAAUUAUAUUAAUGUAAAAUGAUGCAAUUAAAGUGUAAUUUUUUUGCUAUCUUUGAAUUGUAGCUCAGCGUUUGUAUUUUUUGACAUUAAUUUUAUGGUUUUAUGAAAAUGUGCAUUUGUAUGUUCACAUUUCUGCACCUGUCAGUUUUGCAUACUGAAGCAGUUAUUUCUUUAAACUUUUAUUUAUUGCAGUUGUUCAUUUUUUAUGUAGUAUAUUUUUAAAUGUUAAAGAAUGACACAUUUUGGGUAAUUUUCCUCAGUCUUAAAAAAAAAAAUCAAUAAGCCAUUUUAGUCUCUAUCUAUCAAAGUUGUUUCAUACUUGUCUAUUUUAAAGCAGGACUGCAAUACUUUAAUAGGAUUGAGAGAGCUAUUUGAAAUGUAUGCCAAUGAUUCCUGUCAUUUCAUGGCAGCCCUGCCAUGGUUCACUGAGCCCCCUCUUUUCUCUUGUCAGCUCAACUGAAGACAAGCAUUUAGUUGCAAACUUUAAGCAGGUUGUGCAAAACAGAAAUGAUGUGACUGCUUCUCUUCCUGCACAAUAAUGUCACUGCUGGUCAAUGUGAGAAGGCACUGAAAACUCACCCUUUUAUCAAGUCUGCAUUUCAUAAGAAAGAAGAACAAUUGUGGAGAGAGGAUUUCUGAUGAUAUGUUUAUAUACUUUAUAAGGGCAGUUCCCAAACCAGUGUUGCAGGGUCAUGCCUUCAUUUGUUAUAUGAGCCAUAUGCACUCGCUUGUCAACACCUAUGGGUACAGGAUGCCUGGUGCUAAACCAAAAAAUCACUCUGGGAAGGAAACUAGGCUGAAACCCAGCUUGGCAAUGAUGCUAGCACACCACAACUGUCUUACAGUGAUGACAGCUGUUUUUUGUGGCAGAAGAAACGAGGUGCAUCAAAGCAUCUGA
rnacentral:lncRNA from 1 species